rnacentral:rRNA from 1 species
GACGAACGCUGGCGGCGUGCCUAAUACAUGCAAGUCGAACGGAAAGGCCCUGCUCUUGUGGCGCGCUCGUGUGGCGAACGGGUGAGUAUCACGCGAGUAACCUCUCCCUGUCAUUGGGAUAACUCCUGGAAACAGGGGCUCUUAUAGCAUAGGAGCUCUUGCAGCACGGUGGGGGUUGGAAAGUUUCGGCGGUUCGGGAUGGACUCGCGGCUUAUCAGCUUGUUGGUGAGGUAGUGGCUUACCAAGGGUUCGACGGGUAGCCGGCCUGGGAGGGUGACCGGCCACAAGGGUCCUGCGGUACGGCCCAGACGGCAACGGGAGGCAGCGGUGGAGAACAUGACGGAAUAGGCGGACGCCUGAUACAACGGCGUCGCGUGCGGAAAGACGGGCUACGGGGUGAAAACCGCUGUCGCCUGUAACGAAGCGUGAGUGACGGUAAUGGGUAAGAAAGCACCGGCUAACUACGUG